rnacentral:lncRNA from 1 species
UUUUAAUUAAUCAUUGAUGUCAUAUUCAUAUUUAAUACGACAAUCAAACCAUUAAUGUCAUAUAUUUAUAUAUUAAUGUGUAUAUACGACACUCAAACCAUUAAUGUAUGCUAAUAUCUAAUUCCCGGUAGAUGACCGUUACACUCUUAAUUAGACUUUAAUUACCUAAAGCGCCUCGAUCGAUCGCCUAUCCCUGUUAGUAAGUUUAUUCUCAUUGUAACACCGACCAAUAUAUUUCAUAGUACACAAGUCCCCCAAGCCCAAACAAGCUCUUUAUUGG